AUUCGUCCUCUGGUAACUGUAAAACCAAGAGAAAAACAGGAGUGUGCAUGCUUAUACUUUCCAGAACACGCUGAUCCAACACGCAGAGCCAAAGCUGGGUGCACACAUCCCCUCCCCACUUGGUGUCUGCCACCAAAGUUUUCAGUAAAAGUCUUUUUUUGGGGACACCGAUGGCUUGGAGCGCUGUGAGAUUGUCCAGCCCUGGCCUCGCCACCCCAGCCAAGCACCGCUCCUUUAACUCCUCUCCACCCAGCACUCUGGUUCGGGUUGUUAUCUCAGGGUGAGUAAUUAAUUCUCCUGAACAUCAGCAGCUGGUCCUGGGUGGGAGCCGUGCUGGGGAGAGCUGCGGCAGAGCAGAGGGCUGGGUUAUAAGAUGCGAGAACACCUGUCCUUGCCUCUCCUUUUCUCCCUAAAAUCUAUAAAGUGGGAGAGGGGAGGGCAGUGCCUGGGGUCCUUGCCCAGGGAAGGUGCUGUGGGUGAGACUGCUUCUCCCCUUUUAUAAGCUCCUGGCCUCGUCUCAGCUGCAUUGGACUGCACGAUGAAUGAUCUGUCCAAGGCUUCCUGGCGGCUGGGGGCAAAUCCAGGCGAGACGACUCUGGGCUCCAGGAGGGCUGCCUUGGUGAAGCAGGCUCUGCCCGGCGCAGCGAGCGAGGAGAGGGGUGCAGACCCAGCAUGUGCACGCAUCCAGCCCCACAUGUGUUUGGCUCGAGCUCUCCAGGUGUUCUCAGACUUCUCUGCCACAUGUUUUUUGGAGCCUCCCUUCUGGUACCCGUGGCCUCCUGGCAAUCUCACAGGAGCCUUGUCCGAGUCACCUGAGCUCCUGGUGUCCUCCAUGAGCAUGCCCCCAAAGAAGCAGUUUGGCCAAAUGGAGCCUGAGCAUCGGUGCAUGAGGAGCCUGCAGGUAGUGGUGGAAGCACAGCUCUGGGUGUCUCCUUCUCCUAUACUGGCCAAGGGAAAAGAAAAACAACUCCAAAAUAUAUAUAUAAAUAAAUAAAAAGUGCAGAUAUGAUGACUGAAUUUGGCCUGGCUGCAGGGUGGAUUGAAGCCCUCAGAACCACAUCCCUAUCUCUCCAGCUCUGAGCUUCAAGUUUUUGAGUACUGGUACCUGGCAUGAUAUACGGAGAAAGCAGAAAUCCAGUGUAUCAAGAAGAGCGUCCCCAGGAUAGCUGCCUUUGCCAAUGUGGGGGCAAGAUGGGGGACACAACACCCAUUUUUUUUAUAGGGAAGGGGGUCGCUGCCAUCCUGGCUACCCACCAUGAAGGGUCUCCUUCCACCAAGCUUAUCAUGGUGCUGGGGAGGAGGAACAUGGGAGCUCGCUGAGCCGGACACGGCUCCCUCCCUGCCUGGCGGAGGCGCGGGGUCACUCCGUGGUGCUCCCAUCAGGGAGGAAGCCUUCCCGUGCCCCGGCAAACCCCUAGUGAAAGACAAUCAGGCUCGCUGUCACCGAGCUAAUUCCGACGGCAUAAAAGCAGUAAUGAAAUUCACGGCAGGAUUAGCCUCUCCAUCCAAUGGGCCGGCGCCACGGUGACAUAUCGUGCUUCUUGCCCGAAUGUAACACACCAUCUAAUUUACGUCGUGUAGCGAGCGGGAAUGAAAUGUUCAUAAAGAAUUGCUGAAUCUUGUCACCUUAACUGCGGCCCCGGGCUCUGAGGCAUCUGUCAGGGAGAGGAGAGCGGAGAAGGAGGCUCCUGCCUCGCAAAGCUGCGGCCGGUGCUUUGGGAAAGGGGCGAUGGCUGCAUCAAUCUUCUGGGUCUGCGCGGCGGAGACGCAGUGCGUGGGGACGAGGGAUUUGGGAUGGAGGCAGCCAGGCUGCAGGAUGGGGCUGUGCACAUGUACGUGUGGUGCUGGGUCGGGGCUGUCGGACUGUCUCCCCCACAACCAUGUGCCUGGGAUGCAGGAGAAGGGACCUGUGGGGUGGGAGUCAGCAUUCCUGGAGAGCCCAGUGCUGGCAGCAAGGUGCACAUUCCCAGUUUCCAUGCUGCACCCUAUGCAGG
ensembl:lncRNA